AGUUAUCGUUUAUUUGAUAGUACCUUACUACUUGGAUAACCGUGGUAAUUCUAGAGCUAAUACAUGCUGAAAACCCCAACUUCGGGAGGGGUGUAUUUAUUAGAUAAAAAACCAACGCCCUUCGGGGCUUCUUGGUGAUUCAUGAUAACUUCACGGAUCGCAUGGCCUUGCGCCGGCGACGGUUCAUUCAAAUUUCUGCCCUAUCAACUUUCGAUGGUAAGGUAUUGGCUUACCAUGGUUUCAACGGGUAACGGGGAAUUAGGGUUCGAUUCCGGAGAGGGAGCCUGAGAAACGGCUACCACAUCCAAGGAAGGCAGCAGGCGCGCAAAUUACCCAAUCCCGACACGGGGAGGUAGUGACAAUAAAUACUGAUACAGGGCUCUUUUGGGUCUUGUAAUUGGAAUGAGUACAAUUUAAACCUCUUAACGAGGAACAAUUGGAGGGCAAGUCUGGUGCCAGCAGCCGCGGUAAUUCCAGCUCCAAUAGCGUAUAUUAAAGUUGUUGCAGUUAAAAAGCUCGUAGUUGAAACUUGGGCCUGGCUGGCAGGUCCGCCUCACCGCGUGUACUUGUCCGGCCGGGCCUUUCCUUCUGGAGAACCUCAUGCCCUUCACUGGGUGUGUUGGGGAACCAGGACUUUUACUUUGAAAAAAUUAGAGUGUUCAAAGCAGGCCUUUGCUCGAAUACGUUAGCAUGGAAUAAUAGAAUAGGACGUGCGGUCCUAUUUUGUUGGUUUCUAGGACCGCCGUAAUGAUUAAUAGGGACAGUCGGGGGCAUCAGUAUUCAAUUGUCAGAGGUGAAAUUCUUGGAUUUAUUGAAGACUAACUACUGCGAAAGCAUUUGCCAAGGAUGUUUUCAUUAAUCAGUGAACGAAAGUUAGGGGAUCGAAGACGAUCAGAUACCGUCGUAGUCUUAACCGUAAACUAUGCCGACUAGGGAUCGGGCGAUGUUCUUUUUCUGACUCGCUCGGC
rnacentral:rRNA from 1 species